GAUGAACGCUAGCGGCAGGCUUAAUACAUGCAAGUCGAGGGGCAGCAGGUCCCGCAGCAAUGCGGGAUGCUGGCGACCGGCAAACGGGUGCGGAACACGUACACAACCUUCCUUUAAGCGGGGAAUAGCCCGGGGAAACCCGGAUUAAUACCCCAUAGUAUGGUGAAGAGGCAUCUCUUUACUCUUAAAGAUUUAUCACUUGAAGAUGGGUGUGCGGCUGAUUAGCUAGUUGGCGGGGUAACGGCCCACCAAGGCAACGAUCAGUAACUGGUGUGAGAGCACGACCAGUCACACGGGCACUGAGACACGGGCCCGACUCCUACGGGAGGCAGCAGUAAGGAAUAUUGGUCAAUGGACGAAAGUCUGAACCAGCCAUGCCGCGUGGAGGAUGAAGGUCCUCUGGAUUGUAAACUUCUUUUAUCUGGGACGAAAAAAGGUUUUUCUAGACCGACUGACGGUACCAGAUGAAUAAGCACCGGCUAACUCCGUGCCAGCAGCCGCGGUAAUACGGAGGGUGCAAGCGUUAUCCGGAUUCGCUGGGUUUAAAGGGUGCGUAGGUGGAUUAGUAAGUCAGUGGUGAAAUCUCUGGGCUUAACCCAGAAACUGCCAUUGAUACUAUUAGUCUUGAAUACCGUGGAGGUCAGCGGAAUAUGUC
rnacentral:rRNA from 1 species